rnacentral:lncRNA from 1 species
UUUCUUCAUAGUUAGUGUCUUGUAUAUUGUUUGUUGUGCUUUGGGAAGUACCUAGGGUACAGCUGCCACACUAUUACAUUUUUAUUUUGUAGAAGGCAGCAGAUGCACGAUUCAUAGCAGAAGACAGCCGGCAGCAGGCCAUGAGUCCCAGGGAUCCAACUCAGGCUGUCUGGCUUAGCAGCAAGUUCCCUUUCAUCUGAGCCAUCUUGGAGUCUCCUCUAUGUUUUUAUACUUACAAGGUUUGGUUGUUUUGUGGAGUUUUGCUUGGUUGGUGUUUUAUUGUUAACAUUGUUUGGUUUUUGCUUUCUUUCUUUUUAUUGCCAAUCAGUAAGCUAUAUCCCUGGCUCCACAUUUUCCCAUACAACUUCUCUGAUAAUAUGGUUUUAUUGUGUAGUCCCAACUGCCCCGGAGCUCAUGUACUCAGAUGGACAUGGUUUGCACACACAACAUUGAUCCCAGUACUCAGGAGGCAGAGGCAGGCAGAUCUCUUGAGUUUGAGGCCAGCCUGGUCUAUAGUGUGAGUUCCAGGAUGGCCAAGGCUAUACAGAGAAACUCUAUCAAAGAAAGGGAGAGGGAGAGAGAUUGGUAAUAAAAUAAGAUAUAAUAUAAACAAACAUUCAGAAGAAAAAAACGAAAGGAUAAAAACAAAAAACAUAGACACAUUUGCACAUAAUAGAAAUCAAAUAAAACAAAAUCAGAAACCAAUAUAAAUGCAAAGACCUGUAAGGCAAACCUCCAGUAAUGCCAUUAAAUUCAUUUUGUGUUGACCAUCUACUUCUGGGCAUUAGAGUGGUUUGUGUGUCCAUUGAGAUUCCAUAGGAGAAAACUAAUUUUUCCUUUGGGAGAAGUUGUCAAUUGGAAAUGACUUCAGGACUAGAGAUGGGGGCUUAUGUGCACUUCCCCACUAACUGCUGGGACAAACCCAUCUGGCUUAGACCUGUGCAGACUCUGUGAUUGGUGUCAUAGUCUGAGUUUAUGUGUGCCAUUCCUGCUAUGUCUAGAAGGCCUUCUUUCCUUGGUCUCUUCAAUAUCUUCAGGGGGAAUUUGUUUACGACAGAGCGUUCCAAGGUCUCUCCCUCUCUGCAUAUUGUACAGUUGUGGGUCCUUGUGUUUGUUCCCAUCUACUGCAGGAGGGAGCUUCUCUGACGAUGGCUGAACAAGACACUGAUCUGUAAGUAUAGCAGAACGUUGUUAGGAGUCAUUUCAUUGCUGUAUUCCUUUAGCAGAACAAUAGUAUUUAGUUUUCCCCCAAGUUCAUGGCCUGUCCAGUCUCAAGUUCUUGGCCACCUGAGCAGUACUAGGGAUGAAUUCCAUCUCAUGGAGUAGACCUUAACUCCAGUCAGAUGUUGGCUGGUCAUUCCCACACGCUUUGUGCCACUAUCACACCAGCGACCUGCAGCUGGGUGACACUGAGGAUCCCUUUGUCCUCUGACAGUGUGCAUGGCAUCUUUCGGCAUCGUGAACACUAGUCAGGAGGGGUCAAUGCUCCCAUUGUGGUUGUCCUCUCUCCUCCAUCUGUUCUAUUUCCCUGUCCCAGGGAGACCCAUUGUCCCCACCUAAUCUCUUCCUCCAUACCUAACCCCUCUGGCUCUAAGAUUGUAGCUUGGUUAUCAUUUAUUUGACAGGUAAUGUCCACCUAUAAGAGAAUACAUACCAUAUUUAUCUUUCUGGAUGGGUCUGGGUUGACCCAGGAUGAUUUUUUUUCUAGUUUUAUCCAAUUUAUCUACAAAUUUCAUGAUUUAUCGUUAGCAGCUGAGUAAUAUUCCAUUGUGGAAAUGUUACACGUUUUCUUUCUUUCUAGAUGUUGAGAGACAUCUAGAUUGUUUCCAGUUUCUUGCUAUUAUAAAUAGAGCAGCAAUGAAUAUGGUUGACCAAAUAUCUGACUCUGUAGCAUACAGUGUAGUGUCCUUUUGGUAAAUUCCCAAGAGGGGUAAGGCUGAGUCUUGAGGUGGAUUUAUUCCCAGCUUCCUGAGGAACUGACACCAAUUUCCAUGUGGCUGUACAAGUUUGCAUGUGACGGUGUUUUAAGGAUCUCUUAAUUUUGGCAUCCCAAAUUUCUCUAGUUCUGUGAUUUCAGAAGUUUUCUCAAUAUCCUUAAAUGUAAAGGUGUUUGUCUUCAAGCCUGUUGACCAGAAUUUAGUCUCUGAGACUCACAUGGUAAAAAGAGAGCACCAGCAUUGUCAAGUAGUCCUCUGAUUUCCACAUAUGUGCUCCCCUACCCUGAAAAAACAAACAACAAAACGAUGGAUUGGUUGUGUUGGUGUUUUCAUACAUGUCCGUGGUGUGCUUUCAUACAUGUCCGUGGUGUGCUUUCAUACAUGUCCGUGGUGUGUUUUCAUACAUGUCUGUGGUGUGCUUCAUACAUGUCUGUGGUGUGCUUUGUUCAUGUUUACUCUCAUUCCUCUAUCUUGUCCUCCCAUCGUCCCUGCUACUGGUUCCUGUCUUCUUCCAAAAUAUUGCCCUAAAAAGGCUUUGAAGUUAGAAUUUACAUCAAAACCACAACUCACAGAAAGUUCAUUAAACUUGCAUACUGAGGGAUGGCUUAGUGCAGAGUUCUCAACUCAACCUUCCUAACGCUGUGACCCUUAAAUAUAGUUCCUCAUGUUGUAGUGACCCCCCAACCGUAACAUUAUUUUUGUUGCUACUUCAUAACUAAUGUUGCCAGUAUUAUGAAUAGUAAUGUAAAUAUCUGAGGUGCGGGAUAUACAUACAUACAUACAUAUACAUAUACAGAUAUAUAUAUAUAUAUAUAUAUAUAUAUUUGAUAUGUGACCCCUGUGGAAGGUCAUUCAACCCCUCCCCACAGGUGGAGAAAUAAUGGCUUAGUGGUUGAAGAUGCAUGCCCCAAAUCAGGAAAACUGAGUUCCACUCCUGGAACUCACAAGAUGGUAAAAGAGAAUUGCCACGGCAAUAAUGCACCUGCCACCCCCUUCCCCAACAAGUGUCAUUUUAAAAAUGAGAGAAACUUGCAUAAUGGAUCAAACCCCAAGUGUGUGUAUUUUUAUUGGAGGAGGGGUUCUCAAUCACCUCUGUUUGCUAACAAAUGCCUGAGCUAAACGAAUCUGCCUUAGCUUCAUGAUUAGGUCGAAGUAUAUGUGCACAUCGACAUUUUCAUCUCCAAAAAAGAAUCUAUAGCUCUGCAUUGUGCCACAUACUUACAGUAUUGGUGCUUGGGAAGCUGAGGCAGGUCAGUCACAAAUUCCAGGUCAGCAUAUACAUAUGUGUAUGUGUGUAUAUAUGUGUAUGUGUGUAUAUAUAUGUAUACAUGAAUAAUAUAUGUAUAUAGCAUAUAUAUACGUGUAUAUAUAUAUGGUAGUAGUCAGGCCAUUGCCUCACAUCUGUAAUCCUAGCACUCAGGAUGUGAGAAGUUCAGGGCUAGUUUUGGCUAUAUAGAGAGUUCAGUGCCAUCCGGGGAGACAGGAGAUCCU